UACGUAGGGUGCGAGCGUUGUCCGGAUUUAUUGGGCGUAAAGGGCUCGUAGGCGGCGUGUCGCGUCGGGAGUGAAAGACCGGGGCUUAACCCCGGUUCUGCUUCCGGUACGGGCAUGCUGGAGUGUGGCAGGGGAGACUGGAAUUCCUGGUGUAGCGGUGGAAUGCGCAGAUAUCAGGAGGAACACCAGUGGCGAAGGCGGCUUCCUGGCCUAGUACUGACGCUGUGGCGCGAAAGCUAGGGGAGCAAACGGG
rnacentral:rRNA from 1 species